rnacentral:rRNA from 1 species
CAGCCGCCGCGGUAAUACAGAGGGUGCGAGCGUUAAUCGGAUUUACUGGGCGUAAAGCGUGCGUAGGCGGCUAAUUGAGUCGGAUGUGAAAUCCCCGAGCUUAACUUGGGAAUUGCAUUCGAUACUGGUUAGCUAGAGUGUGGGAGAGGAUGGUAGAAUUCCAGGUGUAGCGGUGAAAUGCGUAGAGAUCUGGAGGAAUACCGAUGGCGAAGGCAGCCAUCUGGCCUAACACUGACGCUGAGGUACGAAAGCAUGGGGAGCAAACAGGAUUAGAUACCCCCGUAGUCCCUGUCUCUUAUAC